UACCUGGAAAGCUCACAGACAACAAUCAGACAUUCUGCAGCCCUGUUCAUUGGAAAUACUAUCCACCAUUACUGUGACUUGUUGUCUGAAACAGUGACUGAAGAUGGCAUCUCCCGUCUGUAUGAAGCUUUUCAGGAAGUGCCUUUGACAUGUGACAGGACCACAGGGCACAUCCUCAAUAGACAUUACAAAUGGCUGCAGAAGCUUGGAAAUCUCGUGUCGGGUUCCGCAUUCGACUAGGGAACCGGGACCGACACAGAAGACCUCUUUGUCCUGCUAUGACAUCUAGAGGCUAACAGGAGCCAACCGAGCCCACCACUGAUCACAUCUCUUGGGAGACGGCAAAGCAGCUGCUGCAUGGGAAGGAGGAGAGAAAAGAGGCAGAGCAGGAUGUGCCGGG